rnacentral:rRNA from 1 species
AGAGUUUGAUCCUGGCUCAGGACGAACGCUGGCGGCGUGCUUAACACAUGCAAGUCACGGGGGCUCGCAAGAGCAACCGGCGAACGGGUGCGUAACACGUGAGCAAUCUGCCGAUGUCCGGGGGAUAGCCGGCCCAACGGCCGGGUAAUACCGCAUACGUUCUUGGUCGGACCUCCGACUGAGAAGAAACCUCCGGGGGA